UCCUGAUCUCAGGUGAUCCACCAGCCUCAGCCUCCCAAAGUUUGGGAUUACAGGCCUGAGCCAGUGUCUGGCCCCAAAAAUCUGUUUAUGUUGAUCUUUCUUGUCUAAGAUCUCCUUACCUGUUAAAUGGGAAUAAUGCAUUUUUUAAAAGUUUACUAGAAUAAUUUGGAAAUUCAUCUGCUAGUUGUUCUAUCAUUUCCACAAGAGUCAGAGAUUUCCAGGAUAAGUGGAAGCAUUUCUACAGUUCCUUCAUGCCUGUGAUAAUGUAUAAGAUGUAGCUGACUAAAUUAUCUUAUUCUUCUCAAAAGUAUUAAACAGAGGGCUUUAACCUACUGUAAUACCUAACUUUGUUUGAACAUGGAUAGACUCUCCCUUAGCUACCUAACCUUGUUUUAAUAUGAAUAGACUCUCCCCUAGAUGAGAAAAAUGGAUGGACUCCAUUUGGCUCCUUCAUUUGCAAGACAUCGAGGACUCCUUACCCACCCCCUUCCUCAAGGAGCUAACUUGUGUAAGCUGAGUCUCAGCCUAUCAAAGAGUCCAAUUAACUGAUAAGGUGCUGAGGCAAACUGGUGUCCACAGUUCCCAGCAAUGUACUCAGAGAUGGUACCAUAAAGCCCCCGCAUUUGUCUGGUAGAUAAUGCUCAGAGCCCCCUCACCUAUCACCUUAUGAUGAAUUUAAAGCCCCUGCACCUGGAACUGUUUGUUUUCCUGUAACCAUUUGUCUUUUUAACUUUUUUUUUCUUAUUUGUCUGUUUCUCUUCUUUAAAGUUGCUGCAGCUAGAAUCCCCCUCCCCACUUUAAACCAAAGUAUAAAAGAAAAUCUAGCCCCUUCUUCGGGGUCGAAAGAACUUCGAGCGCUAGCCAUCUCUCGCUCGCAGGCUGAUGAAGGACUCCUGAAUUUGCCUUAAAGUGUGGCGUUUUGCCCUAACUCACUUGGGUACAACAUUUGGAGGCCCCAGCGAGAUAACUUGCCACUGGGUGAGGGCCGGGCUUGCUCUGGGCUCCCCCGGAUAGACGGCCAGCUUACAGGGGAGGCAACACCUGAAAAAGUUCCAGGUCCCCAAAAGGCGACAGUCUUCUGGAGGAGCGCGGAUCGACUACUGGUGUGUGCCCACAAAAUUCAACCUCAGAGUCCUCAGCUUCUGGCCCUGAGGAGUCUCUCCAACAGGUGCGAGAUAUCAUCCAGCCACUCGUCCAGCGAACUCAUCCCAAUCCAGUUCCUGACCAGAUGGGGCCUUGCCACUCAUUCCAGACGGGUGACCUGGUGUUUGUUAAAAAGUUCCAGAAAGAAGGACUCACUCCUCCUUGGAAAGGAUCUCAUACUGUCAUCCUCACCACGCUGACGGCUCUGAAGGUGGAUGGCAUUCCUGCUUCGAUUCAUCACUCCCGCAUCAAAAAGACAAACAAAGGCCAGCAAGAAACAUGGGUUCCCAAGCCUGGGCCAGGCCCCUUAAAACUGGGUUUAAGUCAAGUAAAGCCAUUAGAUUAAUUCCUUUUAUUUACCUCUCCUGUCUGUUUCCACCUGAUAUGCCCUCCGCGCCCCUUCCUAUUCCUUUCUCCUCACUUCUUUCGCAACAGGACAUGUAUUUGCAAACACUACUUGGAAGACAGGAACCUCCAAGAAAGUCUCUUUUGCAGUCGAUUUAUGUGCUUUGUUCCCAGAACCUGCCCAUACCCACGAAGAACAACGUAAGCUGCCAGUCAUAGGAGCAGGAAACGUUGACCUUGCUGCAGGAUUUAGAUACUCUGUCAACCAGACUGGAUGUGGGAGCUCCAAAGGUGCAGAAAAAGGACUCCAAAAUGUUGACUUUUACCUCUGUCCUGGAAAUCACCCUGACUCUAGUUGUCGAGAUACUUACCAGUUUUUCUGCCUUGACUGGACAUGUGUAACUUUAGCCACUUAUUCUGGGGGAUUAACCCCAUCUUCAACUCUUUCCAUUGCUCGUGCUUCCCAUCCUAGACUGUGUAGUACAAAAAUUGCAAUCCUCUUACUAUAACCGUUCAUAACCCUAAUUCAGCUCAAUGGUACUAUAGUAUGUCAUGGGAAUUAAGGCUUUAUAUCCUGGGAUUUGAUGUUGGAACUAUGUUCACCAUCCAGAAAAAAAUCCUGGUCUCAUGGAGCCCUCCUAAGCCAAUUGGGCCUUUAACUGAUCUAGGCGACCCUAUGUUCCAAGAACACCCAGAUAAGGUCAAUUUAACUGUUCCGCUGCCAUUCCUAGUUCCUAAACCCCAACUGCAAUGACAACAUCUCCAACCCAGCCUGAUGUUCAUACUAGGUGGGCUACAUCACCUCAUUAAUCUCACCCAGCCUAAACUAGCUCAAGAUUGUUGGCUAUGUCUAAAAGCCAAACCCCCUUACUAUGUGGGAUUAGGAGUAGAAGCCAUGCUUAGAAGUGGCCCUCUAUUUUGUCGUGCAUGACCCCGUGCCCUCACACUAGGAGACGUGUCUGGGAAUGCUUCUUGUCUAAUUAGCACCGGAUAUAACUUUCCUGCUUCUCCAUUUCGGGUUACUUGUAAUCAGUCCCUGCUUACUUCCUUAAGCACUUCAGUCUGUUACCAGGCACCUAACAAUACCUGGUUAGCCCGCACCUCUGGUCUCACUCACUGUAUCGAUGGGACUGAACCAGGACCUCUCUUGUGCGUGUUAGUUCAUGUACUUCCCCAGCCAUACAUGUACAGUAGACCAGAAGGACAACUCCUCAUCUCUCCCCCUGGAUUGCAUCCCAGGUUUCGCUGAGGUUCUCCGGUCCACAAGUAGGAGAGGCCGAAUAAGUCACGCGGGCUCCUGCUCGGCAGCGGACUUUUAUGCAUUGGUACUGGAAGGGGGAGGGCAGUGGGUGGGAUAAGGGCGUGAUAGGGGCGUCUCCAUAGGCAUGGCCAGGUAAGUUUCAAUCUCUUCGGAUUGACGUCACCUGGCGCAUGCUCCCGUUGAUCUGCAUCUUCCCAGGCCCGGGCUGCAUUUUCCCGGCCCGGGAAAGUUGGUGAGGAAGAACCCGGAAGCAACAUGGAUUGUGCCUUCUUGUUCACCUUCCUCCAUCUUGUCCUUUCUCCCUCACCCAAACAGUGAACACCUCUGCACUGAUGACUGCCUGCUUUCCCACGGUCAGCCCAUUUGUGCUCAUGAACCGCCAUCCCAGGAUACCCAGGCUGGGCUCUGCCUGCUGUGGAGAGAAUACACAGUUUCCUAAGCUGGUCAGAUAGUUCUUCGAUUUAUGUGGAUUGUCUUCUUUCUAUACAAUGAAUGGCCAUUUGUUGAUUUCUUCCUGCAGAAGGUUAAGCACCACAAUUGGCAGACAAUUGCAAAGUGUGUGUGAGACUCAGAAUCCGUCUUUGCCCUUCAAGGAUUUUUCAUGUAUCAUAAACGAUAGUUACAGAUGAAAUGUUUUGCAAAGUGCUUUCAUAAUUUUCAUUUUGUUAAUGUUGCAAUGGAGAAGUUUAGAGGCAAAUUAUUCAUUAAAUGUGGGCCUCUAAUAAUUUGGAAUAAUGCAACUUUAAACCAAUUAAUAAAAAAUGUUAUGAAAUUAACUGGGCACAGCAGUGUAAGAAAAGUAAUGAAAUAAAGCUUUAAGUGAUGAUCAAUGAAGAAAGUGAGAAGAAAGUCAUAGUUCACACCCUUUUCUGUUUUGAAUUAAUCUUCAUUUUUUUCCCAUUUUCAAGUUGUAGAAUUUUAUUUUUGUCCUUGAUGAUUAUACUUUAUUUUAAUGAGACUAGUUUUUGAUUAUUUAAAAAGAAUUCUGUCCUAUAAUUUUUCUGAUGUGUAGACCCUAUGUUCAUGCUUCUUAUAUUUUUAUGAAGAUUUUCUCUCUUUUGGUUUUGAAGGAGCAUUCUCUGCUCCUUCACCUGAACGUUCAGCCUUUUAAUCCAGAGUAAUUGUAUAAAAUUUGGUAUUUAUCCCACAUAUUCUGUUGUUUGUAUGUUUUUGUAAUUUAUACUUAAUAUUUUGAGUUUAAAAUUUUUGCUACUUAUAUCAUUCUACUGUUGUUUCUUCUAUUUUUGAAUAAAAUCUAGACGCAGACUUUUCUAAAAGGUAAGAAGGAAAAGCAGCCGUUCUACCACCGGGCCUGGGAUGGAGUUGGAGGGAAAAUAAUGUAUCAGAUCCUUCAGGAUGUUAAAGACCAGGUUUUGUCAUUUUACCUUAAAUUCAUUGUUUCUUUAAUGAAUGCAAGCUUUUUUUUUUUAAAUUGCAAGUCUAGUCGAAUAGACCAAAUGUUCCUACUUCUAAAAUAAGCUACAAGUCAUCUUUUUCUAUGAAAAUGUGACCUGGUGCCACAGCGAAACUUUCUCUAAUAGCAGCCGUAUCAUCAGCCGGUGGCAGCAAAGAAAUGCUAAUUUCUGGCAUCCCAUGGGCUCCUAUUGAAGCAACUUCAUAAAGCAUGAAGAUAUAUAUUCUUCUGAAGUUUCAAACAAAUAAAAAUGAUCAUUGUG